rnacentral:rRNA from 1 species
CCUACGGGUGGCAGCAGUGAGGAAUAUUGGUCAAUGGACGAGAGUCUGAACCAGCCAAGUAGCGUGAAGGAUGACUGCCCUAUGGGUUGUAAACUUCUUUUAUAUGGGAAUAAACUGUUCCACGUGUGGCAUUUUGUAUGUACCAUAUGAAUAAGGAUCGGCUAACUCCGUGCCAGCAGCCGCGGUAAUACUGAGGAUCCGAGCGUUAUACGGAUUUAUUGGGUUUAAAGGGAGCGUAGGUGGAUUGUUAAGUCAGUUGUGAAAGUUUGCGGCUUAACCGUAAAAUGGCAGUUGAAACUGGCAGUCUUGAGUACAGUAGAGGUGGGCGGAAUGCGUGGUGUAGCGGUGAAAUGCUUAGAUAUCACGAAGAACUCCGAUUGCGAAGGCAGCUCACUGGACUGCAACUGACACUGAGGCUCGAAAGUGUGGGUAUCAAACAGGAUUAGAUACCCUGGUAGUC